AGCAUAUCCUGAAUAGGUUUGGAGAUACACCAUUGGUUUUCUCCAUAAAAGGGAGCUCUUAAAUUUAGGAAGUGGACAGCCGCAAUGAGAUUGGCCUCUUUUGUUUAAGAAGAAUCUUUAAUCACCGAGUGACCUUUCCCCUUCAAUUCUUGACAAUCAAGGAAGACUACUACAAGGAAGAGCUAUCAUGGAUGAAG